rnacentral:tRNA from 1 species
GCCACCGUAGUUUAAUGGAUAGAAUGCCUCCCUCCGAAGGAGGCGGUGUGGGUUCGAUUCCCGCCGGGGGCACCA